rnacentral:rRNA from 1 species
AUGUCGUGUGGGGGAUGUGCAGCAAGCGUUAAACGCAUUUUGGAGAAUGAGCCCCAGGUGGUGUCUGCAACUGUCAACCUUGCUACUGAGAUGGCAGUUGUGUGGGCUGUGCCGGAAGAUAGAGCUGUACAGGAUUGGAAACUGCAGUUGGGUGAGAAGCUCGCUAGCCAGUUGACAACAUGUGGGUACAAAUCCAGCCAGCGAGAUUCUUCGAAAGUCAGUUCACAGAAUGUUUUUGAAAGAAAGAUGGGCGAAAAACUGCAAAAUCUGAAGCAAAGUGGUCGAGAACUUGCUGUAUCUUGGGCACUAUGUGCUGUUUGCCUACUGGGACAUAUUUCUCAUCUCUUUGGAGUUAAUGCACCAUUGGUGCACCUGUUUCAUUCCACUGGAUUCCAUUUGUCUCUCUCAAUAUUUACAUUUAUUGGGCCUGGACGAAGACUAAUUAUUGAUGGAAUAAAGAGUCUAUUCAAGGGUUCUCCAAACAUGAAUACGUUGGUUGGUUUAGGUGCUCUGUCAUCUUUUGCUGUCAGCUCAGUUGCAGCCUUCAUUCCAAAGCUGGGAUGGAAGACAUUUUUUGAGGAACCAAUUAUGUUGAUAGCUUUUGUUCUUCUAGGGAAGAAUCUUGAGCAGAGGGCGAAGUUAAAAGCUGCUAGUGAUAUGACCGGAUUGCUCAAUAUACUUCCAUCAAAAGCACGCCUAAUGGUGGAUAAUGAUGCAGAGCAAUCAUCAUUCACAGAGGUCCCAUGUGGUACUCUUGCUGUUGGGGACUAUAUGUUAGUGCUGCCUGGGGACCGCAUUCCAGCCGAUGGACUUGUGAAAGCUGGAAGAAGUACAGUUGACGAGUCAAGUUUGACAGGUGAACCUAUGCCGGUAACUAAGAUUGCAGGGGCAGAAGUAUCAGCGGGAAGCAUUAACUUAAACGGUAAACUGACAGUUGAAGUUCGACGACCUGGCGGUGAGACUGUCAUGUCUGACAUACUUCACUUAGUGGAAGAAGCACAGACAAGGGAAGCCCCUGUUCAGCGAUUAGCUGACAAGGUUGCCGGGAACUUUACAUAUGGCGUUAUGGCGCUUUCUUCUGCUACCUUUAUGUUCUGGAGUAUUUUUGGUUCACAAUUUGUACCUGCUGCUAUCCAGCAGGGAAGUGCAAUGUCUCUGGCUUUGCAGCUUUCUUGCAGUGUUCUGGUAAUUGCUUGCCCAUGUGCUCUUGGUCUUGCCACACCCACUGCAGUGCUGGUUGGUACUUCGUUAGGUGCAACGAGAGGACUUCUUUUACGUGGUGGGGAUGUUUUGGAGAAAUUUGCGGAAGUUGAUGCCAUUGUGUUUGAUAAGACCGGAACUUUAACAAUUGGGAAACCUGUAGUGACAAAAGUAAUAGCUUCUCACAGCGAGGGAGGUGUAAAUACAAAAGAUUACUGGAACAAUGAAUGGACAGAAGGUGACAUUCUUAGUUUGGCUGCUGGAGUAGAAUCAAAUACAAACCAUCCACUUGGAAAAGCGAUCAUGGAAGCUGCCCAGGCUGCCAAUUGCAUCAAUAUGAAGGCAAAGGAUGGGUCCUUUAUGGAAGAACCAGGGUCUGGUGCUGUGGCUACGAUUGGUGAGAAACAGGUUUCGGUUGGUACAUUAGACUGGAUUAGGAGGCAUGGUGUUGUUCGUGACCCAUUUCAUGAAGCAGAAAGUUUUGGUCAGUCUGUUGCAUAUGUAGCAGUUGAUGGUACUCUAGCUGGUCUUAUUUGUUUCGAGGACAAGAUCAGAGAAGAUUCUCAUCAAGUUAUCAGUGCCCUGUCUAAGCAAGGAAUUAGUGUGUAUAUGUUAUCUGGGGACAAGGAGAGUGCUGCUAUGAAUGUUGCUUCAGUUGUUGGCAUUCAGUUAGACAAGGUGAUUUCUGAAGUUAAACCACAUGAGAAAAAGAAGUUCAUAUCUGAACUUCAAAAGGAGCACAAGUUAGUUGCGAUGGUUGGUGAUGGCAUCAAUGAUGCUGCAGCCCUAGCUUUAGCUGAUGUUGGAAUCGCAAUGGGUGGGGGUGUUGGUGCAGCUAGUGAUGUAUCUUCAGUUGUUCUCAUGGGUAAUAGGUUAUCUCAGCUUGUUGAUGCUUUAGAGUUAAGUAAAGAAACCAUGAGAACAGUGAAGCAAAAUCUUUGGUGGGCUUUUCUGUAUAACAUUGUUGGGCUACCCGUUGCUGCUGGAGCAUUGCUGCCAGUGACGGGUACGAUGCUGACCCCGUCAAUAGCUGGAGCACUGAUGGGUUUUAGUUCAGUCAGCGUGAUGGCCAAUUCCUUGCUUUUGAGGGCGAGGAUGAGUUCAAGGCAUCAUGUUCAGAGCAGACAAAAGCCUCACAACACCAUUUCUGGUGUGUCAGACGGAGCUGAUGAGGUAGAGCAAAGUUAUCCAUCAAAAUGGAGGAGUACCUGA